rnacentral:tRNA from 1 species
GUAUCAGUGUGAGGGUGAGGCCGGUCUGAAAAACCGUAGGUCGGCGGUUCAAUUCCGCCCCUGACCA